ensembl:lncRNA
CUGAAGCAUGCUGCCACCUGAUGCUGUCUGCUGCUGGAUGGGAAGCACAUCUGGUGGUUUAUUCCAGUCCCCAGGGUGCUGGUGGCCACCUUACAAACUCAUUCCUUAUGUUUGAUCCUUUCUGAUGUUCUCGCUGACCGUGUUACUAAAUUGCCUUGCAUUUGAUUAGUCCUCUCUAGGAAGGCAAUUUCAGGCACGAUUUUCCUCCUUUUGCUACCUGGUUCUUCACAGCUUUAGUAGAGGAGAGCAGAAGAGCAACACACCUGAGCAACACUUUGAGCUGAAGUGCCUACACAGACUGCAGAAGGCAAAAGAAGAAAAAAAGAUGACAACUCUGGUUUACUGUUGUUUGAGCACGGGGAUAAAGGUAGGGUCAGUGCCCAAGCCAACUGGAAAAUGAGAUUCUUUCUCAUGUCUUCACUCCAUGCUUAAUUGAAGCCUAUUCUCUGCUAG